rnacentral:rRNA from 1 species
AUGGCGACCGGCGCACGGGUGAGUAACACGUAUCCAACCUGCCGAUGACUCGGGAUAGCCUUUCGAAAGAAAGAUUAAUACCCGAUGGCAUAGUUCUUCCGCAUGGUAGAACUAUUAAAGAAUUUCGGUCAUCGAUGGGAUGCGUUCCAUUAGGUUGUUGGCGGGUAACGGCCCACCAAGCCUUCGAUGGAUAGGGGUUCUGAGAGGAAGGUCCCCCACAUUGGAACUGAGACACGGUCCAAACUCCUACGGGAGGCAGCAUG